rnacentral:rRNA from 1 species
CGGGGGGGGCUAUAAUGCAGUCGAGCGGACAGAAGGGAGCUUGCUCCCGGAUGUUAGCGGCGGACGGGUGAGUAACACGUGGGUAACCUGCCUGUAAGACUGGGAUAACUCCGGGAAACCGGAGCUAAUACCGGAUAGUUCCUUGAACCGCAUGGUUCAAGGAUGAAAGACGGUUUCGGCUGUCCCUUAAAAAAGGACCCGCGGCGCAUUAACUAGUUUGGGAGGUAACGGCUCACCAAGGCGACGAUGCCUAACCGACCUGAAAGGGUGAUCCGGCCCCCUGGGACUGAAAACCGGCCCCAAAUCCCACGGGGAGGGAACAGUAGGGAAACUUCCCCAUGGACGAAAGUCUGGACGAAAACCCCCCCCUGGAUGAAAAAGGUUUUGGAAUCUAAACUCUGUUUUUUAGGAAAAAUAUUCGGAAUAAUGGUGGGCCUUGCGGUUCUUACAAAAACCCCCCCCAAUUGUGGCGGACCCGGUUAAUCAUAGGGGGGCCUUUC